GGAUAACGUUUGGAAACGAACGCUAAUACCGCAUGAUAUUAUUGAGCUGCAUGGCUUGAUAAUCAAAGGAGCAAUCCGCUGAAAGAUGGGCUCGCGUCCGAUUAGGUAGUUGGCGGGGCAACGGCCCACCAAGCCGACGAUCGGUAGCCGGACUGAGAGGUUGAACGGCCACAUUGGGACUGAGACACGGCCCAGACUCCUACGGGAGGCAGCAGUGAGGGAUAUUGGUCAAUGGGGGAAACCCUGAACCAGCAACGCCGCGUGAGGGAAGACGGUUUUCGGAUUGUAAACCUCUGUCCUCUGUGAAGAUAAUGACGGUAGCAGAGGAGGAAGCUCCGGCUAACUACGUGCCAGCAGCCGCGGUAAUACGUAGGGAGCAAGCGUUGUCCGGAUUUACUGGGUGUAAAGGGUGCGUAGGCGGCUUUGCAAGUCAGAAGUGAAAUCCAUGGGCUUAACCCAUGAACUGCUUUUGAAACUGCAGAGCUUGAGUGGAGUAGAGGUAGGCGGAAUUCCCGGUGUAGCGGUGAAAUGCGUAGAGAUCGGGAGGAACACCAGUGGCGAAGGCGGCCUGCUGGGCUCUAACUGACGCUGAGGCACGAAAGCGUGGGUAGCAAACAGGAUUAGAUACCCUGGUAGUCCACGCUGUAAACGAUGAUUACUAGGUGUGGGUGGACUGACCCCAUCCGUGCCGGA
rnacentral:rRNA from 1 species